GAUGAACGCUGGCGGUGUGCCUAACACAUGCAAGUCGAGCGAAAAGACGAGAAGAUCGUUCCUUUACGGUUAGCGGCUGGCGGGCGAGUAACACGUGCAUCAGAAUCUUCUUUGUCUGGGAUAACAACGUGGAGACACUUACACUAAUAGCUCAUACAUCGUACCGCUUGAAUCAAUAGUUCUUCACGCUUUUCACGAUUCUUUUAGCUGGUGUCGCAUUAGCUAGUUGGCUGGGUAAAGGCCCACCAAGGCGACGAUCCGUAGCGGGUCUGAGAGGAUGAUCAGCCACACUGGAACUGAGACACGGUCCAGACUCCUACGGGAGGCAGCAGUGGGGAAUAUUGGACAAUGGGCGAAAGCUUGAUCCAGCAAUACCGCGUGGGUGAAGAAGGUCUUCGGGUCGUAAAGCUCUUUUGUUGGGAAAGAAAAGAAGUAUGUUAAUAUAUGGACGUUUUGACGGUACCUAAAGAAUAAGCACCGGCUAACUUCGUG
rnacentral:rRNA from 1 species